rnacentral:lncRNA from 1 species
CUCUGCCUCUCCCUGCCAGCCCCGACAGAUCUCCGCACCGCGGGGGGAGAAGGAUUGUAUCCAUGAAUGUGUGUAUAAUGAACCCAGAAGGAAUGCAGCACUAAAAGAAGCCUUUGUAAUGUUGCUAUUUUAAGGAGACCCUUGGGCCGAUGCUUUGGACCCAGAAAGACACAAGUGGGAUGGAGAUCAGAGCCCUGGGCUUUUCCCCGCAGACCAGCAACUGGUGCCAUUUCUGGCUGAUUCUCUACUUUUCUCUUCCUAGUGAGGGUCUUUUGUUAUUUAUCAGCUCCUUUCAAAGCAACAACCUAAGAGAUUUCACAAUACUUUUCACAUAUGGUUACUCAGCCUGGGGCUCUCCACAGCUUAGCUGUUUCAGUGAUAUUUGCACAGCACUGAGCAACAGCAUUCCUGACCUGCAGGAGAAGUGAGUGCCUCAAACCUCCUUUUCUCCAUAUACACAAGAUCUUUUUUUGCUCUUAAAAAACCCCAGACCCCUCUCCCCAUCCCUGCCAGUUGCACGGCAGACUGGAUGUCCUUGGCAGCACACUUGGGCUUGCAUCCAUUUUUCUUCUUUGUGUGUGUGUGUGUUGUCAUCCAAUGCAUGGCCAGAACCAAAGGCAAACUCGUGUGUGUGUUGUCAUCCAAUGCAUGGCCAGAACCAAAGGCAAACUCCAUUUGGGAGGUGAGCAAGGAAAACCCCUCCAAAACAGCCAGGAGCUGAAAAGAUUUGGCAAGCUUUGCAGGAGAAAACUGCCAGCAGGGAAAGACGAGGUGGAGGCAUUACUCUGACAGAAGAAGCUCUGAUUAGCAGAUUAUCACUUAAGUGAUGUUGAUCCCAGCCACGCUGCCUUCCAAAUGAGCCCUUUCACAGCUGCCAGCUGCACCACGGAGUCGUGAAUGUAAAUGAGUGGGCCAGAUCCUCUGCUGGCAUCCAUCGACGUGGCUUUGAUGGACCGUCCUGGAUCUACAACAGCCGGAGGAGUGUGGCUGUCAUGGGAGCCUGACUUGCUAUGCAGAUUUCUUUGAGAGCCUGUGGGAAAGGGCCUGAAGCUGGAUGUACUGCAGGAUAGGGCAGCAUCAACUGCACAGCUGGAGGGACCCUUGAGACUUUGACUUUUGCUGCCAAACAAAGCCAUCUUUUUGCUGAGCUUGUAAACUGUUCCCUGGUACCGUACGCCAGCAUAUAGCAUCCUGCCCUCAUAAAGCUCUACUUAUCUCCAUCCAACUUCUUGGGCUGAGCGUGUGGGAAGCAUGUGAGGGACACUCAUGAGCAGCCUCGCAUUCUCCGAGCUGUGCUUUCCCCUGGGGAAGGCAUACUUGACCUCUGGCCACGUCCAUCCAAUCUGACAGACUGGUCUUCGGAGAAUGGUGACCAAGAAUAAGCUCCAUGUCCCACAUGCCACCUGUUCAUCUGCACCGCUCCCUCUCCAGCAGCUCAUGGGCCGUGCCCAGCCUAUGUGUGACACCUCUCUGGCUGCUCAGAUGGAAAGUAAGAGCUUGGAGAGUGAGGACAGCAUGGAGUUAUGGAAGACAUGGCUACAAGACCAUUCUUUCUCCAUCUCCAUGUGCUUCUGAAGGACCAGUCUGAUUCUGGCUCCUGCCAACUUAGGAUAUGCUAUGAUUCUGUGAACACUUUUUGCAGCAAGUCAGCCAUAAGAAACAACAUACUCUCAGACAAUCAAGCCUCCAAAUUAAGAUGGGGAGCCUUGUUGUGAAGGAGAUGGGUUUUUUUUUCCUACUGUAGAAGGGAUGUUCAAUGCUAUAGUGACAAGGAACAAUUCUUCAGCCUUAGACAGCAGAAAGAAGAAACAUAAAGAGACUGUACAGUUCUUGGGACACCGAGACAACUAUCUACGUGCUUUGUGGAAGCAGAGACAAGUAUGAGAUUUGGCUUUCUGGGCUAUGAGGGCACACAGCUGGCUCACAUCCAGCUCCCAUCCACCAUUUAGAUAAGAUACUAUUGCUUUUAAUAAAGACAAGUCAAAGAUCUUCUCCUAAGUGCUCUUAAAGAACUCCAGCAUUGUGUCUACAAUAAUCCAUCCGCCUUAAAGGAUCCAGCAGUACAUCACCACCAGUGGAUAUAAGAAGUAAUUAGUCAUCAUUUAGGGAAGUAAGAUUUAACAGUUAUUUUGUUGGCAGAAGUGCCGUGAUAAAAAUGGUACUCUGAAAGUUAUUUGGUAUUUCUCAUUGUUGCCAGAGUUCUGAACAUUUUGAUAGGAUGAAAAUAGACUUCGGUAGGAAAGUUGUGGAUUUUUUCCCCUCCAUUUAGUAGAAAUAUAAAUGUUACAAAAUAAAUAAUGAUAGAAUAUAUGUGUAUAUAUUUUCAAUGCAUAUUUUAAAAUGCAUAUGAAAUGCAUUUUUUAAAAUAUUUUGUUCAAAUAUUUUUACUAAUGUUGUAUACCUUGCAUCUGUGAAGUGGGUUAUCCCUUAAACAUCCUUUCUUCAGACAGUACUGGGAUUCAUCCUCAGGCCCCGUUAUCUUGCUCUACGUUUCCUAGAGUCCAUCUAUAUAAUAAAUGAGAAUACUGCAUGGUUACACAUCGUAAUUAUUUUUUAAAAUUAUUUUUUAUUUUUUUGCUGAUUGGGGAAAUGGUGAAAACUGGUUUUUGCAUAUUUCAACAACGUUACUCAGCCAAGUAAAAGAACAAGGGAGCAGAAUGGAAGAGAAACGAAGAAAUGGAAGGAAGGAAGGAAGGAAGGAAGGAGGGAAGGAAGGAAGGAAGGAAGGAAGGAAGGAAGGAAGGAAGGAAGGAAGGAAGGAAGGAAGGAAGGAAGGAAGGAAGGAAGGAAGGAAGGAAGGAAGGAAGGAAGGAAGGAAGGAAGGAAGGAAGGAAGAAGGGAAGGAAGAAGGGAAGGAAGGAAGGAAGGAAGGAAGGACGGAAGAAGGGAAGGAAGGAAGAAGGGAA